UUCUGUUACGUUUAUUGCUUUCUGUGGCCUAUUUGUCUAUAAACAUUUGCCUAUCUCCAGGUUAUGAAGAUGCUCUCCUAUAUUUUCUCUAAAAGUUUGAUGAUUUUAUGUUUAGCUCUACAAUAAUUUAGAAUUAAUUUUUGUUUGUGAUGUGAGAAAUAAGUUAAAGUUUUCUUUGUUUGUGUGUUUACAUCUGAGGACACUGGAGUGAGUGGUCCACUCAGGCUAGGAGAUCAAGAAUCCUCCAACUUGCAUCCAGGCAGGACAGAACUGGCCACCCUGGCAAGCUAGCCCUUAGUGGCCCUGAAAACAGACACCUUUCACCAUUUAGCUUUUAUCUGGAGGAGAGUUUGUUCCUGGGAAGGCAUAGAUGUGGCUUUCUGGGGACUGACAGGGUUUGUAUGGUGCCCCUCACACCCUGGCACCUCGGUCAGUGCCCAGCCCAACCCUGCCAAAGCUCUGCCUGACUUUCCUGUACACAGGGAGGGUGG
rnacentral:lncRNA from 1 species